AAGUACAAUAUCUUCCUGAAUCUUGAAGUUGAUGUAUGCUCUGGCGAAGACAUGGGGGUACAUGCUGUAUAAGAAGAAAAACUAAGAAAAGAGAAUCGCCAGGGUUCCAUACCAGUGGUAUCUGAUGGAGAGAGACAGACGAGUGUCAGGAGUGGAUUUGUAUUACAAAUCGAAGGGAUUUGAGAACAUCCACUAAUCCCAGAUCUCACCUACGAAUGGAAUUAUAAUCUGUUUUAAUUUGUUGUACAUUAAUAAAGUGCUGUAUUG